rnacentral:rRNA from 1 species
GGCCUUUAGAUUAUGAUUUAAGGUCUAGCCUGCCCACUGAGGAAUUAAAUGGCCGCAGUAAUUUGACUGUGCUAAGGUAGCAUAAUCAAUAGUUUUUUAAUUGAAAGCUGGAAUGAAAGGUAAAAUGAGAAAAAAACUGUCUUAUUUAAAAUAAUGGAACUUUAUUUUUAAAUAAAAAAGUUUAAAUAAAAUUAAAAGACGAGAAGACCCUAUAGAGUUUUAUAUUUUUUAGAACUUAAUAUUUAAGAAUUUAAAAAAUUAAUUUUUAACAAAUAUUUGGUUGGGGUGAUUGUAAAAUUUAAAAAACUUUUAUUUAUUUAUUCACUAAUUUGUGAUUAUUUGAUCCAUUAUUUAUGAUUAAAAGAUUAAAUUACCUUAGGGAUAACAGCGUAAUUUUUUUAGAGAGUUCUAAUCGAAAAAAGAGUUUGCGACCUCGAUGUUGGAUUAAAGUUAAAUUUUGGGGGAGAAGUUAAAAAUUUAAGUCUGUUCGACUUUUAAAACUUUACAUGAUCUGAGUUUAAACCGGUGUGAGCCAGGUUGGUUUCUAUCUUUAAUAAAAUAAAAUAUUUUAGUACGAAAGGACCAAAUAUUUAAUUUAAAAUUUUUAUUAAGAAUUUUAUUAUUAUUUUGGCAGAUUAGUGCGAUAGAUUUAGAAUCUUUAUAUGUAUUUUAUACAAAUAAUACUUGAUAUUAACUAAUUUAAUUUUAUCAAUUGUAUGUAAUUUAAUUUUAAUUAUUUGUGUAUUAAUUGGAGUGGCUUUUUUAACUUUAUUGGAAC